rnacentral:lncRNA from 1 species
AGGAGGUUGAAUAGGGUUAGAAAGACGGCAUGACUAUAUCUCUAAUGUAGACCUAAAGUGCUUCCUAGAGCUAGGGACCAGGAUUCUAAAUGAGACCUGAGGGAAUGGAGCUGUUGUUGACAAGAGCUGUUAGACAAACAGGACAUGGAGGAGGAGAGGUCAAAAGUCCGUCUGACUCACCUGUGCUGAGUGACUUGAAUGCCAUCUAAUCUAACUUCAAGGUCACAGUGUUUGGACACCGCAUGAACAUGCCAAUUUCCUGUGUUGUAAUAUUUUUAUGCACUUUAAGAAGACCACCAGAAACAGCAGAGUGAGUGAAUGACUGAGGCGCAUAUUGGACAAAAAUCACUUAUCCAAGACCACGUUACUACAACCCCAGGGCACAGAAGCUAAGUCUUCCUAUUGUACUGAACUCAGUUGACUGGAAUUUGUUCAGGAAAGCAUGAAGUCAAAUGGAAGCUAGUCCGUGACUGGAUUCAUCUUUUGAACAGCCACAGGAUGUCUAGGAGCCAGCAGAGGGGCCAGAUAUGCUGCAGUUUAUGCUGUAAAAGGAAGCCUGCCGCCGUGAGUGGUCCAGUGGGAGCUCUUGCUUUGUGUCCUCAGCCUUUCACCUUUCCAUCUGAUGACUUGCUCUGAAUCUUCACUUCCUGGGCAGAGCUCUGAGUAUAGAUGAGGCAAACUUCACAUGGAAAAGAAGCCAUAUUUUGAAAAAACUACACGGAAUCAAAGAGAACUAACUCAAAGAAGCAAAAUUUUGGAGAUAAAACAAGCACCAUUCAGAAUCUGGACAUAUAAUAUGUUUAUGGCAUUUAACCUAGUCAGACAGUAGAUAUUGCUCUAAGUCAUGGCCUACACCUGUGAGCCUACUUAUAUCAGCAUUUGCCAAAUGUACUUGUAGCUGUGGUACUGACCUCAGAGAACUUAGCCAAAGAGCAAAGACUGCCUAAUUCAAGAAGUACUGAGAAGAUGUUCCAGGAUUACUUCAUGCUGUCCAGGUCCUAGACAUGGAAUCGUUUGCUUCUUCAAAAGUCUGGAUCCCUUUAAGAUACGAAAUGUAUUUAGAAACCAAAGUAUGGAUGCUAGGUGUGCUCAUGGCCAUUGGAGUGUGUUUCUAGACCCAGGAAUAAGCAAACAAUGGCCUGUAAACUAUAUCCUGUCUGUGGCCUGUUUUUGUACAUCCUAAGAACUAAAAAUUAUUUUAAAAAUUGUAAAUGGGAAAAAGUCAACAACAACAAACAAAUCAACAAAUAACCCCACAAAUAAACAGUUUCUUAAAGACCAGAAUGACCAAGAAA